UACGAAGGGGGCUAGCGUUGUUCGGAAUUACUGGGCGUAAAGCGCACGUAGGCGGCUUUGUAAGUUAGAGGUGAAAGCCCAGGGCUUAACCCUGGAAUUGCCUUUAAGACUGCAUCGCUAGAAUCGUGGAGAGGUGAGUGGAAUUCCGAGUGUAGAGGUGAAAUUCGUAGAUAUUCGGAAGAACACCCGUGGCUAAGGCGGCUCUCUAGUACGGUACUGACGCUGAGACGCGAAAGCGUGGGGAGCGAACAGG
rnacentral:rRNA from 1 species